rnacentral:rRNA from 1 species
UACGAAGGGGGCUAGCGUUGUUCGGAAUUACUGGGCGUAAAGCGCGCGCAGGCGGUCUUCCAAGUCAGUGGUGAAAGCCCGGAGCUCAACUCCGGAACUGCCAUUGAAACUGUUAGACUUGAGGACGAGAGAGGUGAGUGGAAUUCCCAGUGUAGAGGUGAAAUUCGUAGAUAUUGGGAAGAACACCGGUGGCGAAGGCGGCUCACUGGCUCGUAUCUGACGCUCAGGCGCGACAGCGUGGGGAGCGAACAGG